rnacentral:rRNA from 1 species
UACGGAGGGGGCUAGCGUUGUUCGGAAUUACUGGGCGUAAAGCGCGCGUAGGCGGCUUUGUAAGUUAGAGGUGAAAGCCCGGAGCUCAACUCCGGAAUUGCCUUUAAGACUGCAUCGCUAGAAUCAUGGAGAGGUUAGUGGAAUUCCGAGUGUAGAGGUGAAAUUCGUAGAUAUUAGGAAGAACACCGGUGGCGAAGGCGGCCCACUGGAUCGGUACUGACGCUGAGGAGCGAAAGCGUGGGGAGCAAACAGG